ensembl:lncRNA
GUGUAGUAGACCUCACAGUGAAAUGAUGAAUACAACAGGUGUAGUAGACCUUACAGUGAAAUGAUGAAUACAACAGGUGUAGUAGACCUUACAGUGAAAUGAUGAAUACAACAGGUGUAGUAGAAUGUUAAAUGCUUACUUACAGGCUCUAACCACUGGUGCGGGAAAAAAGGUGUGUGUAGGUAAGUAAAUAAAUAAAACAGUAAAAAGACAUUUGAAAAAUGAGUAGUGUCUGGCCUGGGGAUAUGUAUGUAGGUUUAUGACGGUCAUAAAUACCUCUCCCACCUUUUUCCUCUCUCUACCCUACUGAUGUUACAUUUGCAAACCCCUUGGUUAACAUAGAGAUUCUGGGAACAUCAGAGGAUGGGGGGGAAAUGAACUAUAUUCUUGUAAUCCGACCAAUUGAACAUAUGCGGUGGUACUUAAUGAAUAUGAUAUCAGUUCGGUUGUCAUCUGAGACAUUCUCAUCAAUGAUAAGAUGACAUAAACUUUACAGUGGAAAGUCUACACAUUAUAGUUAUCGGAUUCACAUGGAAUUGUUGUGCAACUUAAAUGUUUGAAUAUAAAAUUAUUGGUGAAAAGAUUUGAAUGUAAUUUUAGCUUCCAAAUGAGAGAUUUGGGUUUUCAUAAGGUUAGGGCUCUGCUCAAUCAGUGGCCCGCCCCUGUGAAGAGACAUGGGUUAUAAAACUACGAAAACACUUUCCUUCUCGCUCCACUAUAUAAAGCGAAAAUGUAACCUCCUGUUCCUGUUCCGAGGAUGUGAGGACGACAGUCCAUACGUUACAAGGACUAACAUAACUAACAGCUAUUCUGGAAGACGAUCCAAUGUCAGAAUAGUUCAGAUAAUAACUACAGAACGAAGCCUGAGCUUUGGUUGCGAAUGGUAUGGACGUUGAACUCUUAUUCACUACAGAAGUGAUACCUCCUAGCCUUUAUGACAUCAUUUGUAAUCAAGGUAUGAUUCAUUCUGUGUAUAUGUAAUUCUGUGUGAUUAGAUAGGUAUUUAGUAAAUAAAUAAUUAAACCCAA